GCCGGUGCUUCAUCAUAGAUCAGGGAAACCUGGGCGGCCGCCGCGUAUUUGCAAGACGCCGCAGCCGUUUACAUA
rnacentral:sRNA from 1 species